rnacentral:tRNA from 1 species
GAGCCUGUAGCUCAGCGGACAGAGCACUGGCCUCCGGAGCCAGGUGUCGGGGGUUCAAAUCCCCCCAGGCUCG